GAGAGGUCCAGAAGGCCUGCUAACUCUUCAAUCUGGUAAACACGCAGCCCUCUCUUCUAUCAAAGG
rnacentral:tRNA from 1 species